AGAGUUUGAUCCUGGCUCAGAGUGAACGCUGGCGGCGUGCUUAACACAUGCAAGUCGAACGAGAACGGAUUAUAGCUUGCUAUAGUUGUCAGCUAAGUGGCGCACGGGUGAGUAAUGUGUAGGUAAUAUGCCUCUUACUAAGGGAUAACAAUUGGAAACGAUUGCUAAUACCUUAUACUCCUUAUUAACCUAAGUUAAUAAGGGAAAGAUUUAUUGGUAAGAGAUUAGCCUGUAUUGUAUCAGUUAGUUGGUGGGGUAAUGGCCUACCAAGACUAUGACACAUAACUGGUUUGAGAGGAUGAUCAGUCACACUGGAACUGAGACACGGUCCAGACUCCUACGGGAGGCAGCAGUGGGGAAUAUUGCACAAUGGACGAAAGUCUGAUGCAGCAACGCCGCGUGGAGGAUGACACAUUUCGGUGCGUAAACUCCUUUUAUAUGAGAAGAUAAUGACGGUAUUAUAUGAAUAAGCACCGGCUAACUCCGUGCCAGCAGCCGCGGUAAUACGGGGGGUGCAAGCGUUACUCGGAAUCACUGGGCGUAAAGAGCAUGUAGGCGGAUUGAUAAGUUUGAAGUGAAAUCCUAUAGCUUAACUAUAGAACUGCUUUGAAAACUGUUAAUCUAGAAUGUGGGAGAGGUAGAUGGAAUUUCUGGUGUAGGGGUAAAAUCCGUAGAGAUCAGAAGGAAUACCGAUUGCGAAGGCGAUCUACUGGAACAUUAUUGACGCUGAGAUGCGAAAGCGUGGGGAGCAAACAGGAUUAGAUACCCUGCUAGUCCACGCCCUAAACGAUGUACACUAGUUGUUGUGAGACUUGAUCUUGCAGUAAUGCAGUUAACACAUUAAGUGUACCGCCUGGGGAGUACGGUCGCAAGAUUAAAACUCAAAGGAAUUGACGG
rnacentral:rRNA from 1 species